AGUUACCUCGGAAAAGAGAGAGUUCGAGAGAGAGAGAUCGUGAGAGAGAGCUCGGAGAAGAGAGAGCUCGUGAGAGAGAGCUCGGAGAAGAGAGAGCUCGUGAGAGAGAGCUCGUGAGAGAGAGCUCAGCUUUACACAAACCUAAGCAUAAACAAGACAUGAUGGGUUAGUGUCAGAGAUCAAGAGAGAGCUUGAGAUGGGUUUGUUCAAUAACAGAGCAAAGAAAAAAUCUGAAACUUUCAAGUCAAAUACUAGUCCAAAUCUUAACGAAUUGAUCCAAAGUUUUCAAAAGGAUGAAAUAAUUACCUCAAAGAGAGAGAGAGAGCUCGAGGUCGGAGAUUGAGAGACCGAGAGAACUCGGAGAUGGGUUAGUGUCAGAGAUCAAGAGAUAGCUUGAGAUGGGUUUGUGUGAUGGAUACAGAGCUCGAAUCCUCGCAUUGCACCAUCACUUCAUCUCACACUUGCAGAUGGAGAGAGAGCUUGAGAUGGAGAGAGGACUUGAGAUGGAUAGAGGGCUCGUGAUGGAGAGAGGGCUCGAGAUUGAGAGAGAUCGAGAGAGAGAUCGAGAGAUGGAGAAAGAGAUUGAGAGAGAUGGGAGAGAGUUGCGUCGAUGGGAGAAGACCUGCGGCUGCGUCAAUUAGAUUUAGGUUUUUUCGUAAAUAAUUAAUUAGGUUAAGGAUAUAAUUGUAAAUAUGUUAAAUAGACGCACAAUUUACGUCGCGACCGCGAGAUUUUACGGCGUCAAACGCAGGUCUCGGCGUCAGACGCAGCGGUUAGACGCAUGUCUCGGCGUCAAUCAAACGAACAAAAUUUUUAAAAAUAGUCGCCGCAGCCGCAAGUACCUGCGGCAACCAAACGAACAGCCUUAAUGUACUGAUCUGGUACUAUAGACCUUCUGAUCACAGUGAUCUAGCUUUCACUUGCAAAAAGGUUUGAUGGUAAAUACUAUUAUUACACUUACUGACUCACAUCGAUCGGUGCACAUGGUAUCAAGAAACCGACCGUCGCCAACCUUUUCCAGAAACUACCAAAAGCCAAUAGAAAUCAAUUACGAUAAGAAUAACAAAUAAUCAAACAUUUUCCCUUGGAAUCUUACAAUAUUAAAAGCAAAAUAAGCUCAAAGGAGAGCUAUGACACGUAAGCUUAAAAAAUCAUCCAAUUAGGGAUAAGCUAUUUUACACAUUGUUUAUUCAAUUCUGAGUUUCUUCUAUGGCUUUAAACUACUUAGCUCUGGCCCAAAAAAGAGCCCACUUCAAUAGCCCUAACUUCUGAAACGAUGAUAGCUUCUAUCGCCUUCCCCUCAGACACUUCGUCUUCUCCGCUUCGAGUUCUUGCGACCUCCGUUACCGCAAUCUCACUUCUUAUCAAUCAAUAGUUUUGUUAACUUCACUCUUUAUGAUUUCGUUUCGCAUCCCUCCCUUUCUCAUUCUUUAUAUACUACUGUUUUUUCUUUCUUUUGCUACAAACCAAAACACUCAAAUCUCCUCAAAUCGAUCUCAAGCUCUAGCAUGGCCAAUGAUCAGGAAGUUAUGUUCUUCAGAGCUAUAUCACUAGGUCCCCACGAAACCCAGAUAUGCUACCGUCUAAUCCAUUUCUGGGAGCUCCGAAACCCACUGAAAAAAAAACAUUUAUUGGUCUGGAAAUUCUCCUCAUCGACGAACAGGUUCGUGAAUCCUCCAAAAUUUAGUUUCCUAUAUUUUCCACUGAUUUUAUAUAUCGUUAAACAUGGUCGUGUUUCCACUGAUUUAAUAUAUUGUUAAACAUGGUUGUCUUAUAUAUUUUCCUUCUGUGUUAUGUUAAUUUUUACAUCUUCUUCAAGGAACUGUUAUUCAAGGAUUCAUUCCAUCAGGAUGUGUUAAAAAAUAUUUGCCUGACAUGAAACAAGGAUCAGUUUACAGUCUCUUGACCUUCUACGGAUCCAAAAACAAAACGGUGCACCGGGUUGCUUAUUAUAGCGUAACCGUUUCUUUCUCAUAGAACUCUAUCAUGUCGGUUCUUAAUGACAGUCCCGUCCCCUUUGACGAAGACCGUUUACGCUUCCAUUCAUAUGAGGAUUUUGAAGCUAAAUGUGAUCUCAAAUGUGACCUCUACGAUGUUGUUGGACACAUGAAGCUGGUCAAUGGACAUGAGAGCGUCCCAUCCUUAACGAAGCGGAGAUAGCAACUAUGCGGCAUCUUUUGGUUCAUGUGCAAUCGCAUGACGGACCUGUUUUGAUCAAUUGAGCAGAUAAUGUUUCCAAAUUUUCACGAAUUCUGGUGAGAGAGUAUUGUUCUGGAUAUAUUGAUAUGCAAUUGAUUUGGUAUGAUCCUUGAAAAACCUUGCCAUUCUAUGUCUUAAAUCUAAGUUGUUAUAUAGAACUGAGUUAUAUCUUAUACCUUUUUAAUGUAGGGAUUUGGGUUGUCAUGUAUAGCUAGACCACGCCAAUGUGAUGGUCAAACAUACGAGUUUGUGUUCACACAUGACCUAGCUAUCGUACGUUUGAUGCGAGUACUGAACUUUUUUAAGAUGGAAAGGGCAUUGGCACCGUUCACACCAACUCAUUGAGACAAAGAUGAGUGGCAUCCACUGCAAGGCGCUUGGCGUUUUAUUCAAGCACGCACUCUUUGGAUCAUCUUCUUGACAUAAUGACAUUGGAGUUGAACACAAUCUUUCUCAAGUUUAACAUGCUUCCCUCCUUGAAAACAAGUGAGUCUCUAUAGGCUGAUUUUUGGUGGCUCAUAGUGGAAGCAACAACACGGAGUACGAUUCAUAUCUCCAAGACCAGUAUAGAUAUUAGUCAGUGGUGUUGGUUGAGAUAUGGUUUUACUCAGAAUGCAGUGAGUGUGAUGGAACUUGGGAAAGAAGCACGUGGCUCAAUUUAUCAAACACUGUGACAUUGUGGUCAUCUGCUUCUCCUCAGUUCCGACAGACCUCAACAACCUCAGAGGAUGGUGAAGGUUUUGUGUUUCUGCUGAAGCUCGAACUCAGUUACAAGCGAUGCUUGAAAGGGGCUGAAACCAGUCUUUUUGGCAGUAUAUAUACAGAGGGGUAUCGACAUCUGGAGAGUGGUGAACCGAGGCGGGAGAUUGGGAAUAUGAUGAAGUCUGGAGAAUGUUGUUCAACUGAUGCACUGAGAUUUGAGAGGCUUGGUGGAUGUAAGAUAAAGCUUGGUGAAUGUAAAACAAGAUUCUAAUGAUUUUAAUACACUUAUGCAUUAUUUUUACAACAAUCAUAUAUCGUUUAUUGUAUGUGCUUUCUAGGAUCAUAUAUGUGUUGGCUAAUUAAUACAGUUUAUGGCUUAUCUUAAUAAGAAAAAAAAAACAGUAUGAAUCUAUUAUCAUUAUACUGCAAUAUGUAAUGCUUAGAGAUAUUAGUUUAAUUUUAUUUUUCUUUUAGCCUUAUUAGCAAUUAAUAUCCUAUAACUACAAAAUACUACGAACAUUAAACUUUUCUAUUUUAUUGUAAUUUACAAUUAUUACCCUAAACAAAAUUAGUAAUGGAACUUUAUUAGAUCAAAUGUUCAUUUAUAUUUUACACUUUCAAGGUUCGUUUCUUAAAAGAAAACCUUCGAUGAACCUGAGGAUUCUAAUAGCAUCUUAUAUUAUCACUUAUCUUCUAAGUGUUAUAGUUAUGUGGUUAGGAAGAUUACAAUAACUAGCUAGCUAACAAAACCUUCAUAAAACUAAUAUAUACUGUUUAGAAUAAGAUGCUUUAAAUACAUUUCUUCAUUUUUUUUUACCAAAAGAAAAGUCAAUCUUCUAGAAAUAUCAAAACUAUUAAUAUAAUUGGCUUUUAUAUAUCAAAAAUGAGAAAACAUAAUUUUGAUUGACAGAAUUUAAAUACAAAACAUUCACAGAUUUUCAAUUUUUAAAUGAUUUAAAUAAAAUAUUAUCUGCACGGAAAAUAUAUAUAAUUUUAUAUUUCUAUAAAAAAAAUUUACAUAAAACGAAUUCCUGUAUCCACAACUAUAUAUUUUGAUUACUGUUCUCAUAAAUUUUAAUUUCUAUUUUGAUCGUAAAGACUAAAAUGUAAGUCUGCAACUGUAAAAGAUUUAAAAUAAGAGAAAUUCUAUAAAAGUAUCUUAAGUAAACUUUGUUACAUUUUUAAUACUCGAAUUAUUUUCAACCAAGUUUAAUACUUCAAUUAAUUAUUUUGUUCAUUUUAAUACACUAACUUUAAAAUUAUGUCCACUUUAAUAUUCAAGAUAUGCUCAUUUUAAAGAAAAUUAUUAAAAAGUCUCAAACAAAACUAAAAAAAAAAACUCUACAAAAUUCAAAACCAAAUCUUAAAAUUUGUAAUUUUAUGUUAAUUUAUAGGAAAAUAAACUAAAUUGAGGAUAAUCUUAUACUUUUUUAAUUUUAGUUAAUAUCAACUUUAAUGUGUAUACUGAAACUUAAAAAAUGAAUAUUAUUCAUUUAUUUUCCAAUCAAAAUAUUUUUUUUCUAAUUUUUCUUAAAUUUAUCCAAAUUUAGUUGAUUUUAUUGCUAAAAUUCAAAAUAGAAUUUUUUUAAUAUUUGGUUUGAAUUUAGAAAAUUUUAUAAAUUUCAUUUGAAACUUAUUAAUAUUUUUUAUUCAAGUAACAUAGUUUGAAUAUUAAAAUGAGCACAAUAUUAAAAAUUAAUGAAUAUAUAUAUGAACCAAAAAAAAUAUUUGAAGUAUUAAACUAAUAGUACAAAAAUAAUUAAACCAAUUAAUGAAAUUUAGUUGAAGUAUUUUGUAGAAUUUUCCCUUAAAAUAAUCUUUAUGUAAAUUAUUUACCACAAAAUAAUUGACUAAGUUUUUUUUUGUCUCUAAGAACAAAAAACAACACAAAACCUUUUUUUAGCAACAACAUAACACAAUAUCUAAAGAUACAAAUACGUGAAGAUCACUAAGAAAAUCAAAAUAUGACUCUUAAUUUAUUACUUUUAAACAUAAUUUUCUUAAGCAUAUUAUAUAUGUACCUAUUUAAUUUGAUCAACCAAAUCCGCGCGUAGCGCGGUAAAAUAACCUAGUAAAUAUAAAUAAAAUAAUGGGAUGAUCCUUAUCCGAAACCGCACGUUAAAGCAAAUAUAAAUAGCUCUUACGUGUUGAAUGUAUGUUUCAUCAUAAAGAUUGGAAGAUAACCAAUAGAGAGAGACUGAUACAAUGGCUGACAUAGCACUACUAGUGGUGGAGGAAUACGAGCGGAGGCUGAAGCUAACGUCGGAGAAAGCAUCAAACUCGGCGGAGAUCGGUGGGUGGGAUGAUUUUCCGGCGAGGAUGAAGAUGUUUGGGAGUGAUCAGGAAAAGAAGAUGGAGAGUUUGAAGAGGAAAUCUGAAGCCAAAUCUCAGUUUGCUCUUGCCGUCUCUAACGGCUUCUUUUCUGCUUAACGAUAUAUAUACUUAUAUAUACAUGUUUCUUUUCUUCUACAAACUCGUUGGCUAUGUGUGUAACCGACUUGUAAAUUAAUACAGUUGUCUGAUGUCCAAUGUUUAGAGGAGAAAUGCUACUUUCAGAA